rnacentral:lncRNA from 1 species
UUUGCACAAAAAUUACACUCCUUCAGCAAUUUUUUACACCUUGACAUUAUAAUUGAAGCACAAAUUCUUGAGUGUCUGGUAAAAUGUAUCAGGUCCUCUUUGACCAAUUGGUUUAGAGUUCAGUCCUUACUGGCUCUCAUUAUUCUAAUAAAAAGUUGAAUUUCAGCCGAAGUAUAAUUUCGCCUUGGUCACGCUUCAAGUCCAAUGAGUUAUGGCGUAUUAGAAGCAUAAUAUAGAAUCAUAAACAGCUUAAACUUUUAGAAUAGUUGGUUCUGGUAGAGAGAACUAGACAUUCUAUAUAUAUCCCGACAUGAUUCAUUAAGAAACUUAACUCUUUUAUCUCUGAUUUUGUGUGCAGUGAUUUUAUUGAGGACUGGGUCAGCAUUGGUUUACCUGCAAAGGCCAAGGUGAAGGCAAAACAUGGGGAUGCACCUUUUGGAGAGCUCUGCACACACUGUGAGAAGGUAUGAGACAAUAAAAGCCACAAGCUUGAUUCAUAUCUUCUAUUAUCUUUCACUAAUUUGUACAUAAUGUUCAACUACAAUAGCUACAUACAUGAUAAUUUACUUACAAGUUAAGUUGGAUUAUAUUGUGCAGGAAGCUGUGAAUGUUUCCCUUGGAAACCUGCUAAGCUACCCAUUUGUGAGAGAG